rnacentral:rRNA from 1 species
AGCGAACGCUGGCGGCAUGCCUAACACAUGCAAGUCGAACGAGACCUUCGGGUCUAGUGGCGCACGGGUGCGUAACGCGUGGGAAUCUGCCCUUGGGUUCGGAAUAACUUCGGGAAACUGAAGCUAAUACCGGAUGAUGACGUAAGUCCAAAGAUUUAUCGCCCAAGGAUGAGCCCGCGUAGGAUUAGCUAGUUGGUGAGGUAAAGGCUCACCAAGGCGACGAUCCUUAGCUGGUCUGAGAGGAUGAUCAGCCACACUGGGACUGAGACACGGCCCAGACUCCUACGGAGGCAGCAGUGGGAAUAUUGGGACAAUGGGCGAAAGCCUGAUCCAGCAAUGCCGCGUGAGUGAUGAA